rnacentral:rRNA from 1 species
UACAGAGGUCUCAAGCGUUGUUCGGAUUCAUUGGGCGUAAAGGGUGCGUAGGUGGCGCUGUAAGUCGGGUGUGAAAUUUCGGAGCUUAACUCCGAACUGCAUUCGAUACUGCGGUGCUUGAGGACUGGAGAGGAGACUGGAAUUCAUGGUGUAGCAGUGAAUGCGUAGAGAUCAUGAGGAAGACCAGUGGCGAAGGCGGUCUCUGGACAGUUCCUGACACUGAGGCACGAAGGCCAGGAGCAACGG